rnacentral:rRNA from 1 species
UACGUAGGGGGCUAGCGUUAUCCGGAAUUACUGGGCGUAAAGGGUGCGUAGGUGGUUUCUUAAGUCAGAGGUGAAAGGCUACGGCUCAACCGUAGUAAGCCUUUGAAACUGGGAAACUUGAGUGCAGGAGAGGAGAGUGGAAUUCCUAGUGUAGCGGUGAAAUGCGUAGAUAUUAGGAGGAACACCAGUUGCGAAGGCGGCUCUCUGGACUGUAACUGACACUGAGGCACGAAAGCGUGGGGAGCAAACAGGAUUAGAUACCCCUGUAGUCCCUGA